ACAAAUCUUCUGACCAUUUCUGGUGAAGUGCUCAACAAUAACUAUGUCAUGGUUGUAAAGGACAACCAUUCCUCCUGACUGGCCUUUAGCAGGUACCUCUAUGAACUCCAAAAAAUUAAAUUUGUUAACGAGGGGUGCAUGCACAUGCAUUCUAGUUUACAGGAGGGCCACUAAACAAGAUUUGUGAGUAUCGAUUAAAUUUCUAAAGUUACAACUGAAGUCAUCAUUAUUGGCACCUCGAAUAUUCCAAAAUAUGAUAAUGGUUGCUCUAUUCAUUAGAGAGGUUUGAGGUUGGAUCAUAGUGGACUCUCUUUCCACUGAGUUGUGGCUCCUCCUUCUUGAUGGAACUAAGAUAAUGGAUUGCUUUUCUACAGUGGGAUCUUGUGGUGGACGAACAUGCAUUGAGUAUUUGUACAUGGUGCUCGGGCAACUGAAGAUGUAUUUCUUGUUUCAUCGUUCUGGGAAUAGAAGUAUUUUUACUUCAUUUAGGCUUGAGAAUUCUACAGUCGGUUGAGUACCUUGUGGAUGGUGUUUUUUUUUCUUCCUCUACUGGAGGUUGUGGAGGACCUUAUUCUGGAACAUUGGCUUGAAUAAUUGGAUCUAGGUUGACUGGGCCCAUGUUUGAAGGAUUGUUGUUUUCCUGGGUUGCAUGGUGACCCCAUGGCAUGAAGGUUGGGUUGGUCAUCAUGCUCUCCUCUGCUGGGAAGAAGGGGAGUGUCAUUGGGAGAUUGAUAUAUUAGUUGGGUUUUGGGGGAGGUUCCAUUGACUCUGCAUUUCCUGGAUUAGGGUGUGGUUCAUAUGUGGGGCUAGGGGUGGAGAAUGUUGUUGAUCCAUGCUUGGUUUGUAUAGUUGUUCAUAGCCAAGUGCAUCCCCUCCGCUAUUAGUUGUGCUAGACAUUGAGUGUUCUAUAUUAUUGUUACUAUUUCAUGACCAUUGAUAUGGAUGUUGAAGGUUAUCGCAUGACCUAAGAACCUGCUUUUAGCCAAGAUGUCGGAUGAUAAUUCUGGAAUUGUGGGGGUGAUGUAAAGAAGAGAGGUUGAUUCUGUAGUUGUGGAGGGUUUGCCAUUUGAGGAGGUCUGAGUUGGUUUGUUAGAUGAAUUAGUCAAAACCUUCUACUUGCUGUGAGAAGGAGUCUUGGCAUUGUUAUCUUGGGUGGUAUUUAUGAGGUUUACACUGGUAGUAGGAGAUUUAGCUUUUGUAGGAUUAGUGAUUCCGAUAAU
rnacentral:lncRNA from 1 species